GCCACAACAUAGCUCAGUCAGUAAAGCAUGAGGCUCUGAAUCUCAGAGUUGUGGGUUUGAGCCCCACGUUGGGCA